rnacentral:rRNA from 1 species
AAAGUGGAUUAGCGGCGGGCGGGUGAGUAACACGUGAGUAACCUGCCUUAGACAUUGGGAUAGCCUCGGGAAACCGGGAUUAAUACCAAAUAAAAUCAUAAUGACACAUGUCAUAACGAUCAAAACUCCGGUGGUCUAAGAUGGACUCGCGUCCCAUUAGCUAGUUGGUAGAGUAAAAGCCUACCAAGGCGACGAUGGGUAGCCGGCCUGAGAGGGUGAACGGCCACAUUGGAACUGAGAAACGGUCCAA